CUACGGGACGCACCAGUCUAGAAGCUUCCGCAAUGGGCGAAAGCCUGACGGAGCGACGCCGCGUGCGGGAUUGAAGGUCGUGAGAUCGUAAACCGCUGUCAGCAGGGAAGAAUACCCGAAUGGUGAAUUCGGGAGAGACGGUACCUGCAGAGGAAGCCCCGGCUAAAUCCGUGCCAGCAGCCGCGGUAAUACGGAUGGGGCAAACGUUGUUCGGAAUCACUGGGCGUAAAGGGUGCGUAGGCGGUUCGGUCAGUCUGAUGUGAAAUCCCCCGGCUCAACCGGGGAACUGCAUUGGAAACUGCCGAGCUCGAGGACAGAAGAGGCAGGUGGAAUUCCUGGUGUAGCGGUGGAAUGCGUAGAUAUCAGGAAGAACACUCGUGGCGAAGGCGGCCUGCUGGUCUGUUUCUGACGCUGAGGCACGAAAGCCAGGGGAGCGAACGGGAUUAGAUACCCCAGUAGUC
rnacentral:rRNA from 1 species